CGGGGUGUAGUUCAGUUUGGUAGAGCGCCUGCUUUGGGAGCAGGAGGUCGCAGGUUCAAAUCCUGUCGCCCCGA
rnacentral:tRNA from 2 species